CUUUCUUUGCUGGCGACCGGCGCACGGGUGAGUAACACGUAUCCAACCUGCCCUUUACUCGGGGAUAGCCUUUCGAAAGAAAGAUUAAUACCCGAUAGCAUAAUGAUUCCGCAUGGUUUCAUUAUUAAAGGAUUCCGGUAAAGGAUGGGGAUGCGUUCCAUUAGGUUGUUGGUGAGGUAACGGCCCACCAAGCCUUCGAUGGAUAGGGGUUCUGAGAGGAAGGUCCCCCACAUUGGAACUGAGACACGGCCCAA
rnacentral:rRNA from 1 species